rnacentral:rRNA from 1 species
AACGCUGGCGGCGUGCCUANCACAUGCAAGUCGAACGCGAAAGGGGAGCAAUCCCUGAGUAGAGUGGCAAACGGGUGAGUAACACGUGGGUGACCUGCCUUCGAGUGGGGGAUAACGUUCCGAAAGGAACGCUAAUACCGCAUGACAUCCUGCUCUUGGACGAGCGGAGAUCAAAGCUGGGGAUCGCAAGACCUGGCGCUUGAAGAGGGGCCCGCGCCUGAUUAGCUAGUUGGUGAGGUAACGGCUCACCAAGGCAACGAUCAGUAUCCGGCCUGAGAGGGCGGACGGACACACUGGGACUGAGACACGGCCCAGACUCCUACGGGAGGCAGCAGUGGGGAAUUGUUCGCAAUGGGCGCAAGCCUGACGACGCAACGCCGCGUGGAGGAUGAAGAUCUUCGGGUCGUAAACUCCUGUCGAAUGGGAAGAACGUUUCGCGGAUGAAUAAGCCGCGGAAGUGACGGUACCAUUAAAGGAAGCC